GCCUUCAUGGUGCAGUGGUCAGCACAAUGGGUGUGUAUUCCAGAGGUCCUAGGUUCGAGUCCUAAGGAAGGCG
rnacentral:tRNA from 1 species